AUUGAACGCUGGCGGCAUGCUUUACACAUGCAAGUCGAACGGUAACAGGCCUUCGGGUGCUGACGAGUGGUGCACGGGUGAGUAAUGCAUCGGAACGUACCCAGAGGUGGGGGAUAACGCAGCGAAAGCUGUGCUAAUACCGCAUGUGAUCUGAGGAUGAAAGCGGGGGACCGAGCAGCAAUGUUUGGCCUCGCGCCUUUGGAGCGGCCGAUGUCGGAUUAGCUAGUUGGUGGGGUAAAGGCCUACCAAGGCGACGAUCCGUAGCUGGUCUGAGAGGACGACCAGCCACACUGGGACUGAGACACGGCCCAGACUCCUACGGGAGGCAGCAGUGGGGAAUUUUGGACAAUGGGCGCAAGCCUGAUCCAGCAAUGCCGCGUGCGGGAAGAAGGCCUUCGGGUUGUAAACCGCUUUUGGCAGGAACGAAACGGUGUCCGCUAAUACCGGGCGCUAAUGACGGUACCUGCAGAAUAAGCACCGGCUAACUACGUG
rnacentral:rRNA from 1 species